AGUGCAGCUUUAGUGCAGGAGGUUUUUGUACGAGGACUGAAUGAGGUUGUAACACUGUGGUACACUUUUGGUGGAGGCACUCGACUCUCUGUUGGAAGUGACACUCAGCCCACCCUCACAGUGUUGCCCCCCUCCAGUGCUGAGCUGCAGCAGGGGAAGGCUACACUGGUGUGUGUGGGCAGUAAGGGUUUUCCCUCAGACUGGAAGCUGAGCUGGAAGGUGGGCGGGGUCAGUCCGAGCUCAGGUGUGAGUGGGGGCGGGGCUGUGCUGCAGAAGGAAAACGGUCUCUACAGCUGGAGCACUACCCUGACCCUCACUGAGCAGCAGUGGAGGACCACCGGAGCAGUGAGCUGUGAGGCCAAGAGGAACAACCAACCCCCAGUUACCUACAGCCUGAACAAACAGCAGUGUGCUGAUUACUGAUACACACACACACUUAAACACACACACACACACACACACACACACACUUAAACACACACGUAUAAUAUCUGUCAGUCUGCUGUGUUUGAGUGUUUCUGCUUCUUUAUCAUUUCUGUAUUUUAUAGUCAUCAGUUCUGAGCUCUCUGUUCAUUCAGAGCUUUAAUUCUGUGCUUUAAUAAAAUUUUCUGAAUCAA